AUUGGCUGCGCCCACGGAGCCGCCUUGCGAUUGGCCCUAAGCGCGGGUGGCUGGGGUUGCGAGAGGCAUCAGGAUCCCUGGCGGCGCCUGAGCCAGCGGCUGCUAGGAGGCUGUGUCCGCAAGCCAGCGGGGCGAGGCGCCUGGGCCCUGCGCGUCAGGUCCCGGCCUGGGGCACCGGGGCUGCCAGCGUCGGAGGAGGCCUGAGACCUGGGAGGAAGCUGGAGAAAAGAUGCCCUCUGAAUCUUUGUGUUUGGCUGCCCAGGCUCGCCUUGACACCGAAUGGUUGAAAACAGAUAUACAGAUGGUAGUGUCGAACCAAGUGGAACAAAGAAAGAAGAUCUGAAUGACAAAGAGAAAAAAAAUGAAGACGAAACUCCUGCACCUGUAUAUAGGGCCAAGUCAAUUCUGGAGACCUGGGUGUGGGUCAAGCAACCAGGUAAUCUGAGUUUUGGCACUUUGGAAAGCUUGAUCUGACGCUCCUUUUCUAAAUAACUUGGAUGGAUUAUUCGUAUUUUUUGGUAACAAUUUUAAAAAAUGUAAUUAAAAAAAUUUAAAUAUCGUGGUAAAAUAUACAUACCGUAAAACUUGCCAUUUUAAUCAUU
rnacentral:lncRNA from 1 species